UAUAUAUGAUCUUUCGGCUGAAGCACACGCGUUUUAAUUCUAAUCAAAUAUUGCCAAGGAGCGCUAAGUCCACGUGGGUAUACUCGUAUAUAUAUGCACCACAUCGGGCUUAAUGACAAGACAAAAAGAAUAAGUGAACCACCACAAAUCUAUUUCCAAACGCCCAAAAUGGCUGGCGUAAUUUCGCUGGCACCGAUCGUAACCUCCAACUGAUAGUUGAACAAAUAAUUUGGAGCAGCGAUAUUUGAUGAAAUCGCCUGGCGCUCGUUUUGGCUCACUUUGGUUGCCAACUCGAGCCGAGUUGUGUCAAGUUUUCCAAUGCACCAGAAUAUGCACAGCCUAGACGCUUACAGCCGGACAAAUUUAAGUUCCGAGACAAGCUCUUCAAUCGUUGUAAAACGUAAGAAAACUUAAAGUAACUAAAAGUAAACCCAUCCUUUACAGUUAAUAGAUCGAUACACGUGUUGUUCGCCCUGUUCUCCUGACCAGUUGAAAGUAGCCUAACCCCGGACUGAUGGUUAACCAUCACCACGUCCAGUACGAGUGUGUCGCGGAUAAGCAGGUCCCGGAAUCUUGGUCUAGCUGUUGAAUCUACCGCCACACAACUAACGAUUCACCCCCCGAUCUCGGCAGGCGAUCUGACUGCUGCAUCGCUUUUGUAGUUUUUAGAAUAUGUUUAAAUUUUGUUGAAAAUAAGCUUAUUAUGCGGGUACACUAUGUAUAUUUGGCCUUAGCUUGACUGUUAACUAAUAUCAUUUUGUAGUUCACUCAGCAUACACACAUCCCCAUUUACACACACCGUCCACAGGCCUUUCGACUGCGCUGGAAACAUAUUUAAAGUAUUCAUGCUGUAAUCAAUCUGAGCCAAGAAAUAUAAUUAUAGAAUAACAA